rnacentral:rRNA from 1 species
CAUCUAAGCGGGAAGCCUGCUUCAAGAUGAGGUCUCCCACAGGGUUGACCUGGUAAGGCCCCCAGUAGACGACUGGGUUGAUAGGCCGGAUGUGGAAGCGUGGCAACACGUGGAGCUGACCGGUACUAAUAGGCCGAGGACUUGACCAC